UACGUAGGGCGCAAGCGUUAUCCGGAAUUAUUGGGCGUAAAGAGCUCGUAGGCGGUUUGUCGCGUCUGCCGUGAAAACCCGCGGCUCAACUGUGGGCGGGCAGCUGAUACGGGCGGGCUGGAGUUCGGUAGGGGAGACUGGAAUUCCUGGUGUAGCGGUGAAAUGCGCAGAUAUCAGGAGGAACACCGGUGGCGAAGGCGGGUCUCUGGGCCGAUACUGACGCUGAGGAGCGAAAGCGUGGGGAGCGAACAGG
rnacentral:rRNA from 1 species